rnacentral:misc_RNA from 1 species
UUUCCGUAGGUGAACCUGCGGAAGGAUCAUUACUGAGUGAGGGCCCUCAGGGUCCAACCUCCCACCCUUGUUUAUUAUACCUUGUUGCUUCGGUGAGCCCGCCUCACGGCCGCCGGAUUGCAUCUGCCCCCGGGCCCGCGCACACCAAAGACACCUAGAACUCUGUAUGAAGAUUGCAGUCUGAGCAAAAACUAAAUAAGUUAAAACUUUCAACAACGGAUCUCUUGGUUCCG